rnacentral:rRNA from 1 species
AGUCGACGAUGAAGCCUUUCGGGGUGGAUUAGUGGCGAACGGGUGAGUAACACGUGGGCAAUCUGCCCUGCACUCUGGGACAAGCCCUGGAAACGGGGUCUAAUACCGGAUAAUACUCUGUCCCGCAUGGGAUGGGGUUGAAAGCUCCGGCGGUGCAGGAUGAGCCCGCGGCCUAUCAGCUUGUUGGUGGGGUGAUGGCCUACCAAGGCGACGACGGGUAGCCGGCCUGAGAGGGCGACCGGCCACACUGGGACUGAGACACGGCCCAGACUCCUACGGGAGGCAGCAGUGGGGAAUAUUGCACAAUGGGCGAAAGCCUGAUGCAGCGACGCCGCGUGAGGGAUGACGGCCUUCGGGUUGUAAACCUCUUUCAGCAGGGAAGAAGCGCAAGUGACGGUACCUGCAGAAGAAGCGCCGGCUAACUACGUGCCAGCAGCCGCGGUAAUACGUAGGGCGCAAGCGUUGUCCGGAAUUAUUGGGCGUAAAGAGCUCGUAGGCGGCUUGUCACGUCGGUUGUGAAAGCCCGGGGCUUAACCCCGGGUCUGCAGUCGAUACGGGCAGGCUAGAGUGUGGUAGGGGAGAUCGGAAUUC